rnacentral:rRNA from 1 species
AUUGAACGCUGGCGGCAUGCUUUACACAUGCAAGUCGAACGGUAACAGGGAGCUUGCUCCACUGACGAGUGGCGAACGGGUGAGUAAUAUAUCGGAACGUACCCAAGAGUGGGGGAUAACGUAGCGAAAGUUACGCUAAUACCGCAUACGAUCUAUGGAUGAAAGCAGGGGACCUUCGGGCCUUGUGCUCCUGGAGCGGC